rnacentral:misc_RNA from 2 species
GGAAGCCGGUGAGAUACCGGCACGGCCGCGCCACUGUGACCGCUGGAGCAUUCCGUUUCCAGUCCGGAAGUCAGAC